UAGUAAUCCAAUUCCUUAAUAACUUACUGGGUAAUAUUAAUUCGUUAUUGUUUGCAACAGGUUGGAGAUGGGGAUGAUGACAGACCAGCCAGCCGAACUCAAAUUGGAUUAGACAUCAUGCGCCACCUGGUUGCUGAAGCUCGAGAGGACCUUUAUGGACAAAAAAUCCUGUUCAAGAUAGUUCUGUCUGGAAUUCCAUACCACCUCCAGAAAAUGGAAAAUGUCUUCAAAUUCUGAUGUCCCAGCAGCCUGAAGUGGUCAAACAAUUUGAAACUGGAUGCAGCACAGAAUCCCAUAUUUUAAGAGAAUGCAGAUGUUAGUCACCCCUGUCCAACUUGUUUGUGUGAAUAAUACAAAAUGUGACAUUUACAGCAAAUAUGUAAUAAUUGAGCAACGUAUAGACAGUUGCAAAACUCUGUUCUGUUAAUUUUGUGCCAUAUUUAGCAUUUAAAACCAGAUACUUUCAGUUUUUGCCGGUUUGUUCGGUUUCUUUUAUUCAUGAUUUUUUCAAGAAGACACCAGUUCGGUGUAUAAUAGUUAUGGUGUUUUAACUGUCAAUGAAUCCAAGAUCACUGUAUGUUGUUGAACUAAUAUAUAUGUUAAACAUUGAAGAUCCAGCUGUCAGUUGUGCUUUUGAGAACACUGAAUUUUAUCAACAUAAUUUGACACUGUACAUAUUGCAAGCAUUUUUUCAAAUCUAUAUAAAUUAAUAGUAGAUAACUGUAGCCUUAUUUUGUGCAUAUUAACAUAUGUGAAUAGUUGAAUAGCCUCAUGAUGUCAUUCUGUAUAAAUUAUAUAAUAUAAUCAUUUUAAUUGUUUCAAUUGUUUUCAUAUAUAAAUGGUUUUGGUACUGAAAUUUGGUCUUGCUCUAUUG